ACGAAAACUAAUAAAAACUAGCAAACCUGCUCUAAAAACUAAUGAAAACUAACUGAAUUAGAGAAAAAAAAGUCACAACUAAAUAAAACUGAACUAUAAUGAAAAAUCCAAAACUAUUAUAACCCUGGUGGUUUCACCCCUGUCUCAUUUAGUGUGCACUGUCAGACUUUAGUUUAAUUGAAGCUGAAUUUGCAGGUUCGACCAAAUGGAUAAAAUGUGAGAAAAACAUAGACUAUUUGAUGUGAAAAACCAUCAGGAGUGGUACAAAUGAACAAACCUGUCAUUUAUGAUCAAAUGGGACUUGGUUAAGACAGUUUGUUGCAUUUGGUGCUGACUUCUAUUUUUCUCUCUUAAAAGAAAAGAGUAUAAUUAAGAUAAUCCUUCAAAUCCUUAAUUUAAGGUGGAUUUAAGAGUCUGCAUGAGGACCAGUGUGUAUUAAUCUGCAUUUUAAAAUAAUCCCCUACAAAUUCACUGCUUUUGAGUAAAAUCUGGUAAAGACUACACAAACUACAUAAUUUUAAUUUUCAUUUUAUCAUGGAUUUUUGGCAUUAAGAGGAAUAUAGAACAAUGCUGACAAUAUUAUUAGUUAUCUAAACAAGCUGAGCAGUGUGGGUAAGCUCAUGAAUAAACUGUUGGUGAAUAAAAGGAGAAAAUAAGAGGUCAAAUAAAUUUUAGAUUCACCCUCCAUCUCAAUUUUUCUUCGCAUCACCAAAAAAUGCCUGUGUGAUGAGAUGACAUUUGUAAGAUAAAGAUUAAAACAUUAACUCCGACUAUCAGCAAAUAUCAACCUGUGCUGUAUUUUUUUAAUCAAUAACUGCUAGUUGGGGUGGACUGGUUAACAUACUAACCUCAUAUCCCUACAAAAUCAUAUUCACAUCCUUAUCCUGACUUUAUCGCUCAUGAUUUCAAAAAAUUGUAUAAAUAACCCGUGUAACCAUAAUGAAUACCGCCUGUGUUACAAGGAUAGCAUCAAAUUAUGACACAUACCUGCUUCUCAAACUCAGUAAGUCACAGAAUGUACAAUAAUAUAGUAAAAAAAAAAUCAACAGCAAGUUUUUCUUGUGCGUCUGGUUUCUGCAUCAAGUCCAAAAUGUUGAAUGUGUUUCUUUUUUCACUUUCUGUUCAUAACUAUAGUUAAUUUUUGUAUGUUUUAAACUAUAAAAAUAUUACAAAUUUCCCCGAUUUCACUUUUAUGUUUUGUUUUAUUUUAAUUGUUGAAUGAAUGUGUGUAUUUUUUUUUUUUUUUUGUGUCGUUUUUACUUUAGCAUCAAAGAGAAUGACUGUACAUUUCGUUUCAUUACAUUACUGUUUGAUUUAUGCAGUUACUAAAGGGAUCAAAAAUGGUGUUUACUGGGAAAAUAUGAUCUAGUUUUAUCUUUUAUCUUCAGGGAAACUGAGGGACAAAAGUGAAUGUAUUGUUUGGUACAUGUAAAAAAAAAAAAAAAAAAAAAACUUCAGGUAUGUAAUGUUUGAUUGAUGGACGAUCACUUGUCUAUGCAAUAUAAGAUUUUAUUUUUUAGCUAAUAUAUUUGAUAGUUUCUUUCAUGUUUCUCGAUGUAAGUCAGCACAGAAAACGACUGAGUGAUGUUUAUGUCAUCUGGUUUCAUGUGCCUGCUGGAUUUGCCCAAACAGAUGAUAUGAAGAUCAGUAAAUGUAGAUAUUUUUUUUUGUUGUGUGAAGCCUUUCGAUAAAACCUCCUCUCAGUGGGUUCGACGUUGCAGGAGCAGGGGCGGUGCAAUGUUUGGGGUAAACAGUUCGGCAACAUUUGUGGGGUUUAACUGAGCCUUACUGUUAAAAAGGACGACGUGGAUCUAAAUACAGAACUUAUAUUGUUGUUUUAGUCGUGUGGACGUAGAGGAAGAAUUGUGUGAUUGAAAAACCCUGAGAGGAAGAUGGACUGAAGGUGAAAAUUCAAUAAAUAUCAACAAUGUAAUACUGUAUAAUGUAUUAUGUCUAUGAUAUUUAACUUUUUUUUUCUUUACAAAUGAAUGUUCUAAUUGGGAAGAGGACAUGUGUGUUAUGCAAAUUAAUUACAAAGGCUUUAAGUUUUUUUUUUUUCUAUAUGGUUGAAGAAGCUGGCUUCAAGAGAAAAAUCUAAUAAAUGAUUCUGAAAACCCUU